AUGAAUGCGACAAGGUGUUGUAUGAUUGGAAAGCUUUAGAAUUUACUUCCUGGAGAGCUCCCAGUGGCAAUCAGUAUGAAAGUAAAAACCACACAAAUUGUCUCUCCUGAGAGCCUGACAUGAAGGAGAAAUAUGCCCUGAAGUCUACAUGGUGUGAGACCACAGCAAGAAAGAGUGAACAAGGGAUGUUAAGAAAUUUACAUUUUCCUGAAUGGACAGAGAUGGCAGCUCACCAUGUACCAGAAAGAGACUGAGAAUUUGUGAUUUGAUUAACUGUAGACAGAAGCUAGAAGAGGUGAGAAAGAAGGAAAUGAGUGUUGCAGAAUCUGAGAGAAGAAAAUGUGAAAGAUACAAAGAAGAAAAGAGUACUCAGGGAAGAGAAAAGUAUCCUUCAGAACGAUGACUCAGAAGACACCUAAGCCAGUGCUAAUCUUUCCAGCACCUUACAUGAUCUGAAGAACUCACAAAAGCUUUCAAAAGUCAUGAAUGAAGACUAACGAAUAUAUUACAGUUUAGAAACAUGGAAUUGAGACUGAAGGACUUGAUGAGGAUGACAUUACAAAUGGUAGAUCUGAAAGUGAAACUCAGAUCCUUA